rnacentral:rRNA from 1 species
AUGAACGCUAGCUACAGGCUUAACACAUGCAAGUCGAGGGGCAGCAUGAACUUAGCUUGCUAAGUUUGAUGGCGACCGGCGCACGGGUGAGUAACACGUAUCCAACCUGCCGAUGACUCGGGGAUAGCCUUUCGAAAGAAAGAUUAAUACUCGAUGGCAUAGUUCUUCCGCAUGGUAGAGCUAUUAAAGAAUUUCGGUCAUCGAUGGGGAUGCGUUCCAUUAGGUUGUUGGCGGGGUAACGGCCCACCAAGCCUUCGAUGGAUAGGGGUUCUGAGAGGAAGGUCCCCCACAUUGGAACUGAGACACGGUCCAAACUCCUACGGGAGGCAGCAGUGAGGAAUAUUGGUCAAUGGACGAGAGUCUGAACCAGCCAAGUAGCGUGAAGGAUGACUGCCCUAUGGGUUGUAAACUUCUUUUAUACGGGAAUAAAGUGAGGCACGUGUGCCUUUUUGUAUGUACCGUAUGAAUAAGGAUCGGCUAACUCCGUGCCAGCAGCCGCGGUAAUACGGAGGAUCCGAGCGUUAUCCGGAUUUAUUGGGUUUAAAGGGAGCGUAGGCGGACGCUUAAGUCAGUUGUGAAAGUUUGCGGCUCAACCGUAAAAUUGCAGUUGAUACUGGGUGUCUUGAGUACAGUAGAGGCAGGCGGAAUUCGUGGUGUAGCGGUGAAAUGCUUAGAUAUCACGAAGAACUCCGAUUGCGAAGGCAGCCUGCUGGACUGUAACUGACGCUGAUGCUCGAAAGUGUGGGUAUCAAACAGGAUUAGAUACCCUGGUAGUCCACACAGUAAACGAUGAAUACUCGCUGUUUGCGAUAUACAGUAAGCGGCCAAGCGAAAGCGUUAAGUAUUCCACCUGGGGAGUACGCCGGCAACGGUGAAACUCAAAGGAAUUGACGGGGGCCCGCACAAGCGGUGGAGUAUGUGGUUUAAUUCGAAGCAACGCGAAGAACCUUACCAGGGCUUGACAUAUAGAGGAAUAACUAAGAGAUUAGUUAGCUCUUCGGAGUCUCUAUACAGGUGGUGCAUGGUUGUCGUCAGCUCGUGUCGUGAGAUGUUGGGUUAAGUCCCGCAACGAGCGCAACCCCUGUACUUAGUUGCCAGCAUGUAGAGAUGGGAACUCUAAGUAGACUGCCGCGAAUAACGCGGAGGAAGGUGGGGAUGACGUCAAAUCAUCAUGCCCCUUAUGAUUUGGGCUACACACGUGCUACAAUGGCGUAAACAAAGGGAAGCGAGACCGCGAGGUGGAGCAAAUCCCAAAAAUAACGUCUCAGUUCGGAUUGUAGUCUGCAACUCGACUACAUGAAGCUGGAAUCGCUAGUAAUCGCGAAUCAGAAUGUCGCGGUGAAUACGUUCCCGGGUCUUGUACACACCGCCCGUCACACCAUGGGAGUCAGUAACGCCCGAAGCCAGUGACCCAACCUUAGAGGAGGGAGCUGUCGAAGGCGGGACGGAUAACUGGGGUG